rnacentral:rRNA from 1 species
AAGGGAGCUUGCUCCCGGAUGUUAGCGGCGGACGGGUGAGUAACACGUGGGUAACCUGCCUGUAAGACUGGGAUAACUCCGGGAAACCGGAGCUAAUACCGGAUAGUUCCUUGAACCGCAUGGUUCAAGGAUGAAAGACGGUUUCGGCUGUCACUUACAGAUGGACCCGCGGCGCAUUAGCUAGUUGGUGGGGUAAUGGCUCACCAAGGCGACGAUGCGUAGCCGACCUGAGAGGGUGAUCGGCCACACUGGGACUGAGACACGGCCCAGACUCCUACGGGAGGCAGCAGUAGGGAAUCUUCCGCAAUGGACGAAAGUCUGACGGAGCAACGCCGCGUGAGUGAUGAAGGUUUUCGGAUCGUAAAGCUCUGUUGUUAGGGAAGAACAAGUGCGAGAGUAACUGCUCGCACCUUGACGGUACCUAACCAGAAAGCCACGGCUAACUACGUGCCAGCAGCCGCGGUAAUACGUAGGUGGCAAGCGUUGUCCGGAAUUAUUGGGCGUAAAGGGCUCGCAGGCGGUUUCUUAAGUCUGAUGUGAAAGCCCCCGGCUCAACCGGGGAGGGUCAUUGGAAACUGGGAAACUUGAGUGCAGAAGAGGAGAGUGGAAUUCCACGUGUAGCGGUGAAAUGCGUAGAGAUGUGGAGGAACACCAGUGGCGAAGGCGACUCUCUGGUCUGUAACUGACGCUGAGGAGCGAAAGCGUGGGGAGCGAACAGGAUUAGAUACCCUGGUAGUCCACGCCGUAAACGAUGAGUGCUAAGUGUUAGGGGGUUUCCGCCCCUUAGUGCUGCAGCUAACGCAUUAAGCACUCCGCCUGGGGAGUACGGUCGCAAGACUGAAACUCAAAGGAAUUGACGGGGGCCCGCACAAGCGGUGGAGCAUGUGGUUUAAUUCGAAGCAACGCGAAGAACCUUACCAGGUCUUGACAUCCUCUGACAACCCUAGAGAUAGGGCUUUCCCUUCGGGGACAGAGUGACAGGUGGUGCAUGGUUGUCGUCAGCUCGUGUCGUGAGAUGUUGGGUUAAGUCCCGCAACGAGCGCAACCCUUGAUCUUAGUUGCCAGCAUUCAGUUGGGCACUCUAAGGUGACUGCCGGUGACAAACCGGAGGAAGGUGGGGAUGACGUCAAAUCAUCAUGCCCCUUAUGACCUGGGCUACACACGUGCUACAAUGGACAGAACAAAGGGCUGCGAGACCGCAAGGUUUAGCCAAUCCCAUAAAUCUGUUCUCAGUUCGGAUCGCAGUCUGCAACUCGACUGCGUGAAGCUGGAAUCGCUAGUAAUCGCGGAUCAGCAUGCCGCGGUGAAUACGUUCCC